GAUGAACGCUGGCGGCGUGCCUAAUACAUGCAAGUCGAGCGAACAGACGAGGAGCUUGCUCCUCUGACGUUAGCGGCGGACGGGUGAGUAACACGUGGAUAACCUACCUAUAAGACUGGGAUAACUUCGGGAAACCGGAGCUAUACCGGAUAAUAUAUUGAACCGCCUGGUUCAAUAGUGAAAGACGGUUUUGCUGUCACUUAUAGAUGGAUCCGCGCCGCAUUAGCUAGUUGGUAAGGUAACGGCUUACCAAGGCAACGAUGCGUAGCCGACCUGAGAGGGUGAUCGGCCACACUGGAACUGAGACACGGUCCAGACUCCUACGGGAGGCAGCAGUAGGGAAUCUGCCGCAAUGGGCGAAAGCCUGACGGAGCAACGCCGCGUGAGUGAUGAAGGUCUUCGGAUCGUAAAACUCUGUUAUUAGGGAAGAACAAAUGUGUAAGUAACUAUGCACGUCUUGACGGUACCUAAUCAGAAAGCCACGGCUAACUACGUG
rnacentral:rRNA from 1 species